ACAUGCUUACAACAUAAUGUUAAUGCACCAGAUCCCAUUAGAACUCCGCAGUUAAGUGCGCUCAAGCUAGAGUAGUACUGGGAUGGGUGACCGCCUAACACAUCUUAGUAUUUUACAUGCC
rfam:Picea glauca, whole genome shotgun sequence.